GUGAAGAACGCAGCAAAAUGCGAUAAGUAAUGUGAAUUGCAGAAUUCAGUGAAUCAUCGAAUCUUUGAACGCACAUUGCGCCCGCCAGUAUUCUGGCGGGCAUGCCUGUUCGAGCGUCAUUUCAACCCUCAAGCACAGCUUGGUGUUGGGACUCGCGUUAAUUCGCGUUCCUCAAAUUGAUUGGCGGUCACGUCGAGCUUCCAUAGCGUAGUAGUAAAACCCUCGUUACUGGUAAUCGUCGCGGCCACGCCGUUAAACCCCAACUUCUGAAUGUUGACCUCGGAUCAGGUAGGAAUACCCGCUGAACUUAAGCAUAUCAAUAAGCGGAGGA
rnacentral:misc_RNA from 1 species